rnacentral:rRNA from 1 species
UACGUAGGGAGCAAGCGUUGUCCGGAAUCAUUGGGCGUAAAGCGCGCGUAGGUGGCUUCGUAAGUCCGUUGUGAAAGUCAAAGGCUCAACCUUUGAAAGCCGAUGGAUACUGUGUGGCUAGAGUACGGAAGAGGCGAGUGGAAUUCCUGGUGUAGCGGUGGAAUGCGCAGAUAUCAGGAGGAACACCAAUAGCGAAGGCAGCUCGCUGGGACGUUACUGACACUGAGGCGCGAAAGCGUGGGGAGCGAACAGG